GGCCUUAUAUUCAAAUUUGAUUCUAGACUGCAAUUCUAGAGGUGUAAAAGACCUUUACUAAGGCCU
rnacentral:tRNA from 1 species